rnacentral:rRNA from 1 species
UACGAAGGGGGCUAGCGUUGUUCGGAUUUACUGGGCGUAAAGCGCACGUAGGCGGAUCGUUAAGUCGGGGGUGAAAUCCUGGAGCUCAACUCCAGAACUGCCUUCGAUACUGGCGAUCUUGAGUCCGGAAGAGGCGAGUGGAAUUCCCGGUGUAGCGGUGAAAUGCGCAGAUAUCGGGAGGAACACCAAUGGCGAAGGCAGCUCGCUGGGACGGUACUGACGCUGAGACGCGAAAGCGUGGGGAGCAAACAGG